rnacentral:rRNA from 1 species
AUUGAACGCUGGCGGCAUGCCUUACACAUGCAAGUCGAACGGUAACGGGCCUUCGGGUGCCGACGAGUGGCGAACGGGUGAGUAAUGUAUCGGAACGUACCUUUCAGUGGGGGAUAACGUAGCGAAAGUUACGCUAAUACCGCAUAUUCUGUGAGCAGGAAAGCAGGGGAUCGCAAGACCUUGCGCUGAUUGAGCGGCCGAUAACAGAUUAGCUAGUUGGUGAGGUAAAGGCUCACCAAGGCGACGAUCUGUAGCGGGUCUGAGAGGAUGAUCCGCCACACUGGAACUGAGACACGGUCCAGACUCCUACGGGAGGCAGCAGUGGGGAAUUUUGGACGAUGGGGCAACCCUGAUCCAGCCAUGCCGCGUGAGUGAGGAAGGCCUUCGGGUUGUAAAGCUCUUUCGGCCGGGAAGAAAUCGUAUCAGCUAAUACCUGGUGCGGAUGACGGUACCGGCAUAAGAAGCACCGGCUAACUACGUGCCAGCCGCCGCCGUAAUAC